GUGUCAGCCGCCGCGGUAAUACGUAGGGGGCAAGCGUUGUCCGGAUUUAUUGGGCGUAAAGAGCGUGUAGGCGGCCAGAUAGGUCGGUUGUGAAAACUGGAGGCUUAACCUUCAGACGUCGAUCGAAACCAUCUGGCUAGAGUCCGGAAGAGGAGAAUGGAAUUCCUGGUGUAGCGGUGAAAUGCGCAGAUAUCAGGAAGAACACCCGUGGCGAAGGCGGUUCUCUGGGACGGUACUGACGCUGAGACGCGAAAGCGUGGGGAGCGAACAGGAUUAGAAACCCUAGUAGUCC
rnacentral:rRNA from 1 species